rnacentral:rRNA from 1 species
GACGUAGGGCGCGAGCGUUGUCCGGAUUUAUUGGGCGUAAAGAGCUCGUAGGCGGUUUGUCGCGUCGGCUGUGAAAGCCCGGAGCUCAACUCCGGGUCUGCAGUCGAUACGGGCAGACUUGAGUGUUGCAGGGGAGACUGGAAUUCCUGGUGUAGCGGUGAAAUGCGCAGAUAUCAGGAGGAACACCGGUGGCGAAGGCGGGUCUCUGGGCAACAACUGACGCUGAGGAGCGAAAGCGUGGGGAGCGAACAGG